UAGGGAAUCUUCGGCAAUGGACGAAAGUCUGACCGAGCAACGCCGCGUGAGUGAAGAAGGUUUUCGGAUCGUAAAACUCUGUUGUUAGAGAAGAACAAGGACGUUAGUAACUGAACGUCCCCUGACGGUAUCUAACCAGAAAGCCACGGCUAACUACGUGCCAGCAGCCGCGGUAAUACGGAGGGUGCAAGCGUUAAUCGGAAUUACUGGGCGUAAAGCGCACGCAGGCGGUUUGUUAAGUCAGAUGUGAAAUCCCCGGGCUCAACCUGGGAACUGCAUUCGAAACUGGCAGGCUAGAGUCUUGUAGAGGGGGGUAGAAUUCCAGGUGUAGCGGUGAAAUGCGUAGAGAUCUGGAGGAAUACCGGUGGCGAAGGCGGCCCCCUGGACAAAGACUGACGCUCAGGUGCGAAAGCGUGGGGAGCAAACAGG
rnacentral:rRNA from 1 species